rnacentral:rRNA from 1 species
UACAGAGGUCUCAAGCGUUGUUCGGAUUCAUUGGGCGUAAAGGGUGCGUAGGUGGCGAGGUAAGUCGGAUGUGAAAUCCCGGGGCUCAACCCCGGAACUGCAUUCGAUACUGCCCUGCUAGAGUACUGGAGAGGAGAUUGGAAUUUACGGUGUAGCAGUGAAAUGCGUAGAUAUCGUAAGGAAGACCAGUGGCGAAGGCGGAUCUCUGGACAGUUACUAACACUGAGGCACGAAGGCCAGGGGAGCAAACGGG